UACGAAGGGAGCUAGCGUUGUUCGGAAUAACUGGGCGUAAAGGGCGUGUAGGUGGAUGUGUGCGUUAGAUGUGAAAGCCCCGGGCUCAACCUGGGAAUGGCAUUUAAUACGGCACAUCUAGAGUGCGAGAGGGGAAAGCAGAAUGGCGAGUGGAGCAGUGAAAUGCAUUGAGAUUCGCUAGAACACCAGAGGCGAAGGCGGCUUUCUGGCUCGCAACUGACACUAAGACGCGAAGGCGUGGGGAGCAAACAGG
rnacentral:rRNA from 1 species